rnacentral:rRNA from 1 species
AACGAACGCUGGCGGCAGGCCUAACACAUGCAAGUCGAACGCCCCGCAAGGGGAGUGGCAGACGGGUGAGUAACACGUGGGAACCUUCCCUAUAGUACGGAAUAGCCCAGGGAAACUUGGAGUAAUACCGUAUACGCCCGAGAGGGGAAAGAUUUAUCGCUAUAGGAUGGGCCCGCGUAGGAUUAGCUAGUUGGUGAGGUAAUGGCUCACCAAGGCGACGAUCCUUAGCUGGUUUGAGAGAACGACCAGCCACACUGGGACUGAGACACGGCCCAGACUCCUACGGGAGGCAGCAGUGGGGAACAUUGGACAAUGGGCGCAAGCCUGAUCCAGCCAUGCCGCGUGAGUGAUGAAGGCCUUAGGGUUGUAAAGCUCUUUUGCCGGGGACGAUAAUGACGGUACCCGGAGAAUAAGUCCCGGCUAACUUCGUGCCAGCAGCCGCAGUAAUAC